rnacentral:rRNA from 1 species
AUGAAGAUCCAGUGCAACGCGUGCGGGGCGGCGGAGGCGCGGGUGCUCUGCUGCGCCGACGAGGCCGCGCUCUGCGCCGCCUGCGACGAGGAGGUGCACGCCGCCAACAGGCUCGCCGGGAAGCACCAGCGCGUGCCGCUCCUCCCCGACGCCGCCGCGCCGCCCAAGUGCGACAUCUGCCAGGAGGCUUCUGGAUACUUCUUCUGCCUGGAAGACCGUGCUCUACUUUGUAGAGAUUGUGAUGUUGCUAUACACACAGUGAAUUCCUUUGUUUCAGCACAUCAAAGGUUCCUGCUGACAGGAGUUCAAGUUGGCCUCGAUCCUGCCGAUCCUGUUCCACCUGUUGCUGACAAGCACGUAAACACUUCAGGUGAAAACAGUGCAUCUAUUCCCAGCCAAAAUGCAAUCAGUGGAGAUUAUUCAAGGCAGAUUUCUGUUCCAAAUACCAAGACAGGAAUGACCAAUUGGACUAUGGACAACAGUGCACUCAGAUUGGCAGAGCCUCCACCUAAGUACCUGUCAGAUGGAAAUUCAAAACUUCUGCUCUCUAAUCAGACCACCACAGCUUUAUCCAACCAAAUGAACAGAGAUAGUGGCCGGGCUUACAACUUACCAUUCUCAGGUGGCAACGGGUCAGACAGUUUACCUGAGUGGCCUGUGGAUGAAUUCUUCAGUAACUUAGAAUAUGGCCCAAACUUUGGCUUCACUGAGCAUGGUUCUUCCAAGGGUGACAAUGCUAAGCUGGGGAGUGCUGGGGGAUCUCCACAGUGCCGUCUAGCUGAAGGCCUGUUUGCAGAAGACCUGCUAGGCCAGGUACCUGGAUUUGAUGCUGAGGAUCCAUGGGUGGUGCCCGAGGUUCCCUCCCCACCAACAGCCUCGGGUCUCUGCUGGCAAGGGAACUUGCAUUACCCUGUGUACGACGGCGCCAUGUUCGUCCCUGAAGCACCCUCCCUGCAGAGCUCCCAGGACAACUUCGCUGCAUCUGCUGGUUUCAAGCGUCGAAGGAGAGAGUUUUGA